GUGUGUGUGUGUGUGUGUGUGUGUGUGUGCGUGUGUGCGUGUGUGUGCGUGUGUGCGUGCGUGCGCGUGCGCGCGCGCGCGCUUGUGCGCAUGGCUGGAGGGUCUCAGGGCAAGCCUGGAUAAACAAACUCUAUCUCCACCCAUCUGUUCACCAGCUCCUCUCUCAUAGCUCCACAUAUUAUCACAGGGAAGAGAACAUAGUCAGACCAAGUCCAACCACAAAGCAAUUCAGUCAUACACCGAUAGCCACAGCUUGGAGCAGGUUCUAACUUAAAAUAAUCACAUACACACUUGAUCGUCUUUUCCGUACCUUUCCACUACUUUGUAUUCUGUUGAUCUUCAUUUCCCUAGGAUUCGAUAUUGCACAGUUUGACUCCUCUUAGAUGAUUCUAAUCACUAGUCUGGUAGUGAGGACAUCUAGUUAAAAAAAAAAAAAAAAAAAAGACCAGGAUAUUUUAGAUAAGAAGGGUGUAUCUGUAGCCUGACAGCCAGAAGCUCAGUGUAUGGACGUGUAUGCAUAGGUCUGAUGAAAGCCAUAGUCAGGUGAUUUGUUAGGGUUUUAAGUUACUCCUCCCAAGCAUAUCUAGCAGAUAAAACUGGUAAUGUUCUUGGGCCUUAAUGUUUUUAUUUCAAGUGGUAUUUCUAUUUUAUUUCUUUAAUAUUGGCUAAGCCAAAGUUCCCCCAGAUUGCGCAUAGGACACUCUUAUAGAGUUCUCCCUAAGUUGCUCUUCAUGUCUUGUAUAUAAUAUAAGUAUGAAAGUAAUCCCAGAUCCAGAGUGAGACGACCUCUGACUAGGCCACACACCAACAAAGCCCUCCCCCUGAUAAGUAUGCAGCAAAUUGUGUGAAAUCAUUCAGACUUCAGUUUUACAUUCUCUCUUACUUACACAGACGUUGAAGUCAAUGGUGUGGACGGAAUAGCUUCCUUUCUUUGUUUUUAUGUUAUUGUCGCUACAGCAUAACUGUAUUUUCUAACUAAUGUCAUGACUGUUUGUGUGCGGGUGGGGGUCAGCGUGUGGGUUGUGGUUUAGGGAGGGUAUUUUAUGAGGUUGGGGUAAAGGGGUGUUUUGGGUGGGGUGUGGGAUAUAAAAACCUGAUAGCACUGGAAAUAGUGCUUUAGCUGAGACAGCAAGAGUUUGCACUAAAGUCAUGUCCUUGUCCUGCUAAGGGAUUGAGGGCAUGGGACCUCAGCAAGGCCCUUGAGUUUCCGUGAGCACAGGGUGUCAAACACUCAACUGUCCAACACAGACAGUCCAUCCACUCCCCUAACCAACAGAUGUGUUAAUGUAGAAGUUCUUCUAAGAAGUAUGCCAACAAUAAUUAACCUAACCAAAGCAGAAAAAGACUGAUGAGUCAUUGCACAUUUAAGCUAUCUCAUGUUGGAUGUAUAUAUCAAAACCUGAAGGUGCUUUGUAUGUUUUGAGAUAGCAUAAACGGGAGACUAAACUGUUAUAACUACAGCGAAUCUGAAACUCUACUCCAUGCUUGAAAUGUUAUAAACAUUCAGGCCCUAUAUAUUUCCUCAAGCCACCUCUGGGAGGUAGGUUGUAUUUCGGGGUAAGUGUUCUCUGGGACUCUGCGGCCUUGUCUGAGGACUAAGCUUUGUUUAAUGGGUCCGGUAGCAGUCUGGGACUAGGGCUCCAAUUGACUCACCAGGUGGACAUAAGACAUGGCAAGAACGUGCCUUAAAAUGGAAGAACCUCUGUCUCUUCCACGAACGUUCCUAUACUUAAAGUUAACACGUGGAUGAUGAGGAAUGUGGCUGAAAAUGGUUCCAUACUAACAUUGCGAUUGGAAAUGCACUGUACGCCACCGAUCGGAUCUCUACUGAGCCACACUGUCAAUCCACUUCCCACUGUAGUGUUUGGCCAACCUACUAUGACUUGAAUUAACUGGUAAAUGUAUGGAGAGGUAGACCUACAUGAGAGGGUGUUCUACUGGCUGAUGUUGUGGUGCAGCUCCAUGCUACCUUGUGGUCCAGUGUCCCACUCCUGGUGAGAGCCUAAGCCCCAGAAAGCUGUUACUCUGACACGCUACACUGAGAAGGUGUCUCACAAUUCCUGAAAAUAUACAAUUAUCUCUGGUGUUUCUCAAAUUCUUUCCUUAUUUAAGACACAUGGUGUGUGAAAGCAUUAGAAAUGACACAAAAUAUUAGAUAACAAUGACAACUGUAAUAAUCAUGAAACCGAAGUGGGCAACUGUGGAAGAGGACAUGGUCUCUUAUUGGUGCUGCACACCCGAAUGUCUGGUGAAGCACCACAAGCUGAGGGGUGACAUAUGGCACAAUGCACAGCGUGACUUUGGCACAGCCGUCCGUGGAGCCAAUCGGAGAGGCUUUUGGCUGGUUGUUCGGCCAGUUUGCAGUAGGGAAUCUCUUGCUACGUCAGUGGGGUAAAGGAGGGUGCACAAAGUGGCAGGGUCACGACCAAAUUGUUCAGUAGCAAUGUCACAGAAGAGGCUAGCUCAGGAAAGAUGCGCUGUGCAAUGGUUCAUAUUGCCCCAUAAUGUGGUGUUUCACUGGGAAUUAUAUGAUGUAGAACAAAGGUGGAAAACGUAGGGGACUCACAGAACUGGCAUUGGGAAAAUUACAGGGAAAUGUUAAUUAUACUUUUCUGUUGAUGUGCUUCUCAGGUGGAAAAUAACACUGCAAUGCAUUAUGUUCCAGUUUCUGUUUCUGUUCAGUUUGUGGUUUGACCCAGAGUCACAUCCCUUUCUUUGCCUUCCAUGUACAAUUGUCAGAUUGUACCAAUGUUUAACAAAAUGGUUCCCAGAAUGCAAAGCGAGGAAACGGUUUGUUCCCUAUUGCCAUGUGACUGUGACUGCCCCUAUUAGUUAACCUAAAAGUUGAUUCAAUGGCUUAUCUUUGGGAGCGUUGUGAGGUCUGUGUGCAUCAGGUUGUAAUACGUCCAAAAGUAUCGGGGUGAGUGGGGGGGGGGGGGGGGGGUCUCCAAACCCCGAUGUCCACAUCUUACUGACUGGUCUUUGAUUUGAGAUCACAGACCCUCAGUGGAGGAAGCUGGGACAGAAGGAGAGAGAGAGAGAGAUUUGUAGUUUGAAGUCACCAACCAAUACAUUCCAUAACUUCAUACAGUAAUUCCCACUUUUGAGUCUUGGGGGGGUGGGUGGAGGGUGAAGAACAGUCAGCAUUUUACAGCCGAGUGUUUCAUUCUGUCAGACCCCCCUCCUACCACCCCUGUCUGACAGACAGACAGACAGACAGGCAGGCAGGCGGUGGGCUGGGCCUCUACUGGCUUGAAUGUCCAGCUGCCUGACUGUCUCAGCUUCUGCGAUUGUAUCAAAGCACUUUGCGAAAGGCCAUCCAGAAUAUUGUGUGCUGUUUAUUUUUGGGUUAUUACUAUUGUUUAUUAUUGUUGUUUAUUGUUGUAAAUUUUUGUUAUCUCAUUAUGGAUGAUUAUUUAAAUGCAAAAACUACAUGAAAAUGAAAACUUGAAUAUUUGAUAAUUGGGUUGAAGUCCAUUCAAGCGCGCCGCCCCACUAUGCCAUACAUCCACAUCCAAACAGUUUCAACUAAUAGAGAUCUACUCUGAGUGGAGGGUACAGGCAAGGCCUCCCCAUCACCACAUACAGACUCAAAACCCUUUGGGAAAACAAGUCACAGAACAUCAUUGGGAGUUACACAGAAACUUCCAUAACAGUUGAGAAGCUUUCUGAAAAGACUGAGUUGUACUACUUUGUCAAACAUGCAGUACUUGGAAGAUGUAGAUUUUAAGCAGUUUGUUUCCCUCACACUUCACUUACAGUUGUAGUAGGCACAGAUUAAUCCUGGUUCAUUCAUGUAUGCAGUGUCUUUGCCCAAUAAUAGUUCACCUUUGUGGCUAAAGUUAAUUGGUGGAUCUGGCCUCAAAUCAUUCUAAGCAAUAUUAAAUAAAAAUACAUUCAAGUUGUCAUGCCAAAUUCACGUUUGGGGUUUUUACUAUGUAUCAAGAAUAUUGAUAUUGACAGAUGUUUCUGUCAAAUCCAAGGUUAAACAAAACAUUUUCGUAGGAUAGGCAGACAUGGCGAAGUGUGAAAGAAUGGAGGGACUAUUCAUCAUCUGAUUUCUAACUAAAUAAAAAUCACAGUAAUCAUUCUUACUCGUUUGAAGCUCUGGGGCACAUUACGGGGCGGUGGAGAAGUCCUGGUCUCAGGCGUGGAUGCUAAAAACCCUGUCCUCUUCAUGAACGUCAUUUUCCUUAACAUUGUCAAUGUCUGUUGAAAGCUAUGCGGGGGAUGAGUGGUUUUGGAGAAUUUGCACUUUUGGCUAUGAAAAUAAAUUGUAUAUGAGACCACUAAAUCCACACCGUCUAAACCAUAUAAUUCCAUUUGUUUCAGUUUUUGUUCUGUUUUACUUUUUUUAAUAUAUCCAAAAAUGUCUGGCGUCCUGGUUUAAAAGAAAAUAAGAUCUUUCUAUUAAAAAUGAAACAAUGGUUGCAACUUGUGUGUCCAUGCUCAUGUUUGUUUACAACUAAGAAUGUAGCAAAUGUAAGUCUCUGGCUAUUCUCAUGUCAAAUGUAAGCAAACGUGUUUCUUUUCUGGUAUGCCCACACACUCAAACCAAAUAAACUACGCUAGGCUUUCCAAGUGUAAAAAAAACUUGACGAAGAAUCCAAGGAAUUUUACAUUAAUCUGUUUAUUGUUCCCAAAACACAUUUUCAUUUGAUCACAUAAUCAAAAGCCGCAGGGAAUAUGUCGUUAGGGG
ensembl:lncRNA